rnacentral:tRNA from 1 species
ACUUUUAAAGGAUGGUAGGCUAUCCACUGGUCUUAGGAACCAGAAAUUUUGGUGCAAUUCCAAAUAAAAGUA